rnacentral:rRNA from 1 species
CACCGCGGUUAUACGAGAGACCCAAGUCGACAGAACCCGGCGUAAAGCGUGAUUAAUAUUAUAUAGGUACUAAAGUCGAACGCCUUUAAAACUGUUAUAAGUCCACAAAGGUAGGAAGCCCAUUAACGAAAGUAACUUUAAGUUAUAUGAAUUCACGAAAGCUAUGACA